CCUACGGGUGGCAGCAGUGAGGAAUAUUGGUCAAUGGACGAGAGUCUGAACCAGCCAAGUAGCGUGAAGGAUGACUGCCCUAUGGGUUGUAAACUUCUUUUAUAUGGGAAUAAAAUGUUCCACGUGUGGGAUUUUGUAUGUACCAUAUGAAUAAGGAUCGGCUAACUCCGUGCCAGCAGCCGCGGUAAUACGGAGGAUCCGAGCGUUAUCCGGAUUUAUUGGGUUUAAAGGGAGCGUAGAUGGGUUGUUAAGUCAGUUGUGAAAGUUUGCGGCUCAACCGUAAAAUUGCAAUUGAUACUGGCAGUCUUGCGUACAGUUGAGGUAGGCGGAAUUCGUGGUGUAGCGGUGAAAUGCGUAGAUAUUAGGAGGAACACCAGUGGCGAAGGCGGCUCACUGGACUGUAACUGACGUUGAGGCUC
rnacentral:rRNA from 1 species